AUUGAACGCUGGCGGCAGGCCUAACACAUGCAAGUCGAACGGUAACAGGAAGCAGCUUGCUGCUUUGCUGACGAGUGGCGGACGGGUGAGUAAUGUCUGGGAAACUGCCUGAUGGAGGGGGAUAACUACUGGAAACGGUAGCUAAUACCGCAUAACGUCGCAAGACCAAAGAGGGGGACCUUCGGGCCUCUUGCCAUCGGAUGUGCCCAGAUGGGAUUAGCUAGUAGGUGGGGUAACGGCUCACCUAGGCGACGAUCCCUAGCUGGUCUGAGAGGAUGACCAGCCACGCUGGAACUGGGACACGGUCCAGACUCCUACGGGAGGCAGCAGUGGGGAAUAUUGCACAAUGGGCGCAAGCCUGAUGCAGCCAUGCCGCGUGUAUGAAGAAGGCCUUCGGGUUGUAAAGUACUUUCAGCGGGGAGGAAGGGAGUAAAGUUAAUACCUUUGCUCAUUGACGUUACCCGCAGAAGAAGCACCGGCUAACUCCGUG
rnacentral:rRNA from 1 species